rnacentral:rRNA from 1 species
GUGAAUCAUCGAGUCUUUGAACGCACCUUGCACCGUAUGAGUAAUUGUACGGUAUACCUGUUUGAGAAUCGUAAAACUCUCUUUCCACUAGUUAGUGGGAGAUUUGUCGGUUGUGCUGCCCUCACGGGUGGUACUCUGAUCAAAAGUAGUAGGUCUUGAUCAGGCUAGUGGCCUGGGACAUUGUGUGCUAGAGACGUCGCUUCGGCUGACUGUCUUCUCACAGUGCGUCCUGGGCUAUCCAAAGCUAGCUUGGUCAAUAAGGCUUUACAGUGCCUCUGGUCCACGUUAAACACGGAUCUGGGUCACAACUCCAAAUUUUGAUCUCAAAUCAGGUAAGGCUACCCGCUGAACUUAAGCAUAUCAAUAAGCGGAGG